CGACGGCAAAGUUCCGCAUCGUGCACAUUGACGUCAAUUUUUAGCGACCGUUAAAAAGUUACCACAAAAUUAUGCCAACUUUAGCCGACUUCUUGGAAAUAAAUGAACGCUAGCUUGUUUGUAUUUCAACAUUUAAGUCUAAACAACUCAACUAAACAACUUUGGUUUGUUUUUUGUGGACGAGCACGAAGUCAGCAAUCACAGUAAUACUGGACUGGAGGACAUCAGGAACUGAGACCCACUUUCCAAGUGCUUGGACCUUAAGCAUCAAGAUUUGUGUGUGGGAAUAAAAGACACACUACAUUGUUCAGAUGAGGCUGACGGCUUGGGUGGCGGCGGAGACUGAGUGAGCCCAUGUAUGACCAACUUCAUUUUCAGGACAAAAGUACAAAAUGUAUUAUAAAGCAAGAAAAUAAGGAUAAAUAUAAUAGUAAGGUUGAAUGAAUAUAUGAAUAAUUUGAUAUAAUUCUUGGUUCUUUGUUCUUCCACAUAGACAUGCAACAUUUAAUAACAUGUAAGACACACACACACACACAAACUAUGAAAAUGUUUUUGAGCUGUGAAUUUCUAACAAAUGCAGCAGAAAAAUGCCCAGAUAAACAGAUACAAUUUUGAAUGUACUGGGUUUUUUCCAUGCAUAAUGCGCCCCCGUGCAUAAUAUGCACCCUAAAAGUGGCAUGUCGAUGCUGGAAAAAGGCCUGUACCCACGUAUAAUACGCACCCAAAUUUUGACUCCUACUUAAGUCCGUAAACGUAAAAUCAUUUCAGAAAAAAAAGAUCAUCUUUGGGAACAACCGGAUGUUAUUCUGCCGGUCAGUAUCACUGCGCAUGCGCUAGCAAACUCAAUAGCGAAGAAAUGUUUCGGAUUUGUGUAGGGUACAUUGUGACAGCAAACGAGCAGGUGAUCGAGCAAGCGUCUGAUACGAGAGCAUUGUGUUCGUAUGGAGCGUGUUUGAAGUGAACACCAGAGAAGAAAGGAACAAGGCAAAGUGUUGUGUAAUAAAAUAUUACCUGUAAUACGCAUUUAGGUAGAGAACUGAACUCUCGCUCUUUAUAUCGCUGACGUGUCUUGCGCAUCCAUUCUGCGCAUCUGUAAUGGCGGCCUGAUGAUAUCCGGUUUGCGAUGAAGAUUAAAAAACAAACAAUAUUUGACAAUAACACACCAUCAAGGAUUGCACCAUCGCAUCAAACGAUGUGUCGUCAAUUAUGAAUUUUACUGACUAAGUGUGUUGGGCAGGAUGGGUGAAUGCGAUGCGCGAUUGACAACAAACAAGAAGAAAGGUGUGAUUUCAAGUUUUAUUUCGAGGAAGCUUCUCUUCAAAAAUUGUUGUAACCAUGCAUAAUGCGCACCCCAGAUUUUAGGACAAUAAAUUUGUUAAAUUUUGCGCAUUAUGCAUGGAAAAACACGUUAAAUGUUGCACACAGUAUGUGCAUGUUCUUAUUUCUGUACUUUUCUAUUUAUUUGUUGUAUUUUAAUUGUUUUGUGUGACACUUACCUUCAAAUGAUGUUGAUGAGCUGGACAAGCCCCCCCUCCCGAAAAAAAAAAAGAAAGAAAUUAAAAGAUGUUUGGUGUAUCCUAAUUCAAAUUUAUGUUUGAAUGCGGAAUGUGACUGUAUGGCUGCUGAUAACACAAUUUUUGGCAUGCAUUUGUUUGUCUAAAUAAACAGCUGUUACAAAGUGUAUAA